GCCCUGCGGACGCCCGCUGGCGCGGAGCAGUGGCUGCUGCUGUCGUCCCUGUCUCGUUUUCUAUAGGGAGCUCCCACCCGGUCCUGGGCAGGGGUGGGGCUCUGAGGGACCGGGUGGAGGGGCGAGUCGAUUGCCUCGGCGCCGGAAGAAGCUUCUAGUUAGGAUGUUUCCCGGAUAAGUACUGUCUGGCAAUUCCGCAGCCUCACCAGAACUGAGGGGAGCCAUAUUGUCCCUCUCUGUCUCCCAGUUUGUAUCGUUGUCUCCAUCUGUGCCGGUGUAUUAUCAUUGUCUGGUGCUUUUUUUUUUUUUUUUUUUUAGUUCCCUGCCUGCCAGGGUCCUAGAUUCCAUCCUCGGUUUACUUGUCCUCAUUGCCCCAGACCCGGGGAAUGCUCAGGAAGGCUGCGCGGUAUUGGAGGGACAGAAUGACCUUCCAGCCCUGAGUCCCUGAACAAGUUUCCAUCUCAUUCCACAAAGGAUUUAAGGAGUGUGACCUAACUCAAACACAGCUGCUUCUAUGGAACUGACUUCCGCAAUUGACAACUGUGUGAACUUGGGCAAGAUUUACUUAUUUGGGGCACCUGGGUGGCUCAGUCGGUUAGGCGCCUGCCUUUGGCUUGGGUCAGGACCCCAGGUCCUGGGAUCCAGCCCCAUGUGAGGCUCUCGGCUCAGUGGAGAGCCUGCUUCUCCUUCUCCCUCUGCCUGCUGCUGCCCCUGCUUGUGCUCUCUCUCACUCU
rnacentral:lncRNA from 1 species